rnacentral:lncRNA from 1 species
UGCGAGAGCGGAGUUGGGUUCUCCUCAGCACAGACGCGGAGAGCAUCGCGAGGGCGGAGCUGCGUUCUCAUCUGCACAGAUUUCAGUGGUACUGCGAAGGCGGAGCAGAGUUCUCCUCAGAUGAUGAUUAUUCCCCACCUUCUAAGAGACAAAGACCAACGAGCCGCCACAGCCACCAGUCCCAGAACCCGCCAAUGCUGGGGAACGGAAAAUGAGGGAGUUCAACUCUGGCCCUCACAAUCCAGUGGAGGAGACGCAACUCAUCUGCCUCUGUCCCUCUGGGCACGCCUCGUGCCAGGUGCAUCUGUGGACAGGGGCCAUGCUCCUGGGCUUCCAAAGUUGGAGAAAGCUGCCAGGCUCAGGUCUGAAGGCCAGAAUUCUACAGUAAGUCCUACUGAGUCAAGGUGGGAGCAGGGUCGGUAGCUUCCGAGGCUCUGCGGGAGAAUCUGUUUCCUGGCCGUAGAGGUGGCCUGCACUCCUCAGCCUGUGCUGCCCGUCUCGAAUGACUGGAGUUUCCUGCUUCUGUCACUACACCUCCCACCCUCUCCAUCACCUGCUCUGCUCUUACAAGGAUCCGAAGAAAUGGAAUCAUCGUAUCGCUGAUCUACGUAAACAAACUGAAGAAUUGUCUGAAAGAAAAUAUGACAUGAACUUAUGAAUUCAAUAGGUGAAGAUUUACAACUUGAUAAAUCAACUUUGUCAGCUCGAGCUGUAAAAGCCAAAGGUCCGGUGAUGAUCCCAUACCCUUUUUUCCAGUCUCAUGUUGAAGAUUUUUAUGUAGAAGGCCUUCCCAAAGGAAUUUUUUUUUUUUUUUUUUUUUUGAGAUGGAGUUUUCACUCUUAUCGCCCAGGCUGGGGUGCAAUGGCACAACCUUGCUGGUCACUGCAACCUCUGCCUCCUGGGUUCAAGAAAUUCUCCUGCCUUAGCCUCCCAAGUCACUGGGAUUACAGGUGCCCACCACCACACCAGGCUAAUUUUUGUAUUUUUAGUGGAGAUGCGGUUUCACCAUGUUGGCCGGGCCAGUCUCGAACUCCUGACGUCAAGUGAUCUUCCCGCCUCGACUCCUGAUAUCAAGUGAUCUUCCCGCCUCGGCCUCCCAGAGUGCUGAGAUUACAGACGUGAACCCAUGCCUGGCCAGGAAUUUUGUUUUUUAGGAAGGCUUUCUACUAAUGGAAUUCCUGGCCUUGAGAGGAUGUUACUUUAGAAGGAAAGGAUUUUUUUGUUAUUAAAAGAGCCACCUAAGCUGAAGAUUCCCUUGAGAACAAGUACUGUCCCUAGUUUCCCAGUGCUGGAAUAUAGAAAAUGGAUGGACAACUGGACCUACCAUGAAAGACUUCUGAAUCCAGGAAGAGAAACUGACUGGGCAACAUGUUAUUCAGCUGGAUCUACCAUGAAAGACUUGUGAAUCCAGGAAGAGAGACUGACUGGGCAACAUGUUAUUCAGGUGGGAACAUCCAGUUGCAGGAAAACAAGCUUAACACGCCCACUGAUUCUACAUUAUGCUCCUACCUCCCGGCAGCCUCUCCAGGCCCAGAACUUUCUCCAGUCAGCCUCUACAGACCAAGCUCAUGACUCUCAAUGGCCUAUUUAGGCCCAUACCCUACGUCACGGCAGCCUCCGCAGAUGAGGCUACUGCCUCACAACAGCCUCCACAGGCACAGCUCCAUCGUUACAAUGGCCUCUUUAGACCCAGCUCCUGCCUCCCAGCCUUCUCUCCAGGCCCUGAACUUUCUCAGUAAGUUCAGGUAGCUGGGACUGUAGGGUCUCCCUCUGUUGUCCAAGGCUGGAGUGUAGUAGUGCUA